CCAUGCGAGUCGGAGAAGGGUUCGGCCCUCGGCGGACUGCUCAGUAACACGUGGUAUAACCUGCCCUAAGGUGGGGCAUAACCCCGGGAAACUGGGGAUAAUACCCCAUAGGUUAGAGAUGCUGGAAUGCACUUUAACCCAAAGCUCCGGCGCCUUAGGAUGGAUCUGCGGCCGAUUAGGUAGUUGUUGGGGUAAUGGCCCAACAAGCCUGUAAUCGGUACGGGUUGUGGGAGCAAGAGCCCGGAGAUGGACUCUGAGACACGAGUCCAGGCCCUACGGGGCGCAGCAGGCGCGAAAACUUUACAAUGCAGGAAACUGUGAUAAGGGAACCCCGAGUGCCCGUAUACGCGGGCUGUCCAGGUGUUUGAAACGCAUCUGAAGAAAGGGCCGGGCAAGACCGGUGCCAGCCGCCGCGGUAAUACCGGCGGCUCGAGUGGUGGCCACUUUUAUUGGGCUUAAAGCGUCCGUAGCUUGGUUGUUAAGUCUCUUGG
rnacentral:rRNA from 1 species